CUAGUACCUUUGAAAAUGGUGAAUUUCAGUUCCAUAUUUAAGGGAGCUUGAUACAGCUUGACAAAAUGUUUGUGUGUAAAGACAUUCAUUGUGAAGAAAUGUACUUACACCGCAACGCCACAUACCCAGAAAACCAAGAGGAACAGAAACAAAAGAUCCACGUUAGUAUCAUAGGAGUAGUGUUUGUAGGGAUAUUUGCUAUUGCUGUAUGUGUCAUGUGCGUAGCAAGAUGGAUACGACUCAACAGACUACGUAAUAUUAGACAUGUCAUCCUGACGGAAGACUAGGAAUAACAUUGAACACUCAUUUGAUUGAGUUCUGCAAGGCUAACGUUCAUUACUGAUUUCGUAUCAUUUCAAACUAAUGUGGAUUCACUAUUACUCGCGGAAGAAGCAUAGAUUUAUGGGAAUUCCCUUGAUAAUCAUAAAUCAUCAAUCAGAAUUAGCAAAAUUCCAAAUUCUCAUUGAUAUUUUGGGAAAAUUUCAUAAAAAAACAAAAUAGGGAAACCAGAUUCAUAAGACCAUUUUUGUUUGCUUUUAUCCGGAAACGAGUACAAACGAACAUGUUAUCGUUUUUUUUUGGUUUUUUUUUUGUAUGUGUAGAAAUAUCUUUUUCACACAUCUGACAGUGAUUAUUUUUUUUUCAUAUGCAUGUUAUUAUGUUAUAAUUUUACUUUUUAAAAAAGUUUCUGUUAUAUA